rnacentral:lncRNA from 1 species
CUUAAGGAUCUUGGGUACUUUGUGCCACACUUGUCAUAUUUUCGAAUAAAGCAGCUCGAGGAGAGAGAAAGCAAUGUGCUUGUGACUGCUGAGAGGCUUUGUCGAAUUAAUCAACAUGACAUGGUAUGAAACAUUUUUUUUAUCAUUCUUUUAACUUUAGUUAUGUUAUAUAUUUUAACUUUCAUAACGUUAUUAUCAUCUUUUAGGAUCGUUUUGGUACAACCAACGCGGCAACGAGUUUUCGUGCCAUUCUGGCUCAAGUCUUGGAUGUGUUGGAUUUGACUUACAUGGGUGGAAACCCCAUAUUCAC